CCUACGGGACGCAGCAGUGGGGAAUAUUGCACAAUGGGGGAAACCCUGAUGCAGCGACGCCGCGUGAGUGAAGAAGUAAUUCGUUAUGUAAAGCUCUAUCAGCAGGGAAGAAAAUGACGGUACCUGACCAAGAAGCCCCGGCUAACUACGUGCCAGCAGCCGCGGUAAUACGUAGGGGGCAAGCGUUAUCCGGAUUUACUGGGUGUAAAGGGAGCGUAGACGGCAGGGCAAGUCUGGAGUGAAGGGCGGGGGCUCAACCCCCGGACUGCUCUGGAAACUGCCAGGCUGGAG
rnacentral:rRNA from 1 species